UACGGAGGAUGCGAGCGUUAUCCGGAUUUAUUGGGUUUAAAGGGUGCGCAGGCGGCGUGUCAAGCAAGCGGUAAAAUAGCGGGGCUCAACCCCGUCGAGCCGUUUGAACUGGCGCGCUUGAGUUCAGGCGAGGUAGGCGGAAUUCGUGGUGUAGCGGUGAAGUGCAUAGAUAUCACGAAGAACUCCGAUUGCGAAGGCAGCUUACCAGUCUGCGACUGACGCUCAGGCACGAAAGUGUGGGUAUCGAACAGG
rnacentral:rRNA from 1 species